rnacentral:rRNA from 1 species
GGCCUUUCGAAAAUGGUUUGAUGAAAGGUCUGACCUGCCCGGUGACCUGAGAUGGUUAAACGGCUAUUAAUUUACUAAGGUAGCGUGGUAAUUUGCCCUUUAAUUGGGGGCUGGUACGAAUGGUUUGACGAUAGAAAUUCUUUAUUUAAAAUAUAGUAGUUGAAGUUUCCGUUUAAGUGAAAAGGCUUAAAUUUUAAUAAAAGACGAGAAGACCCUGUCGAGCUUGAUUAGGGGUGGUAUGUGAUUAUAUUACUCUGAAGUUUAGUUGGGGCAACGGAGAAUGAAAGGAACAUUUUUUAAGUUUAUUAUAUAACGAUCCAUUACAGAGUGAUAAAAAGCAAAAGCUACCGUAGGGAUAACAGAGUAAUCAUUUUUUGAGAGCACGUAUUAAAGAAAAGGUUUACCACCUCGAUGUUGGAUUAAGAAUUCCCUAUGCUUGCAGGAGGUAUAGGAGAAGGACUGUUCGUCCUUUUAUUUCUUACA